AACGCACGAGACCUGCGGACCUGCGGAGGGAUCAUUAAUGAGAAGCUGCCCCUCGUGGGUAGACCUCCCACCCUCUGUGAACUUACCUUUGUUGCUUUGGCAGGCCCGUCCUCUGGACCGCCGGCUUCGGCUGGCCCGUGCCUGCCAGAGGAUUCCAAGCCCUGUCUGUCAGUGUUGUCUGAGUCUAUAUGAAAUCGUUAAAACUUUUAACAAUGGAUCUCUAGAUCGGAAGAGCACACG
rnacentral:misc_RNA from 1 species